GACGAACGCUGGCGGCGUGCUUAACACAUGCAAGUCGAACGAAGUGGCGACCGGGUGAGUAACGCGUAAUCAACCUGCCCUUCAGCGGGGGACAACAGUUGGAAACGACUGCUAAUACCGCAUACUGAAGGGGGGGAUUGCGUCUGAUUAGCUAGUUGUAGGGGUAACGGCCCACCAAGGCGAUGAUCAUUAUACGGUCUGAGAUGAUGAACGGCCACAUGGGGACUGAGACACGGCCCAGACUCCUACGGGAGGCAGCAGUGGGGAAUCUUCCGCAAUGGACGAAAGUCUGACGGAGCAACGCCGCGUGAGUGAUGACGGCCUUCGGGUUGUAAAGCUCUGUUAAGCGGGACGCGGUACCGUAAUAGAAAGCCACGGCUAACUACGUGCCAGCAGCGCGGUAAUUC
rnacentral:rRNA from 1 species